AUGAUGUAGCAAGACGAGACACAUUUACAAAUCUUGCGGAUAUAAGGGCUAAGGAAAUCGAUCUCUACUCAACUAAUCAAGAUUGCAUCAAGAUGCUUGUUGGAAACAAAGUUGAUAAGGAAAGUGGAGGGGUUGUCAUGAAGAAAGAGGGAAUUGAUUUUGCUCGGGAGUAUGGAUGUCUUUUCCUUGAAGGUAGUGCAAAAACUCGAAUUAAUGUAUAGCAGUGUUUUGAAGAGCUUGUUUUAAAAGAACCUGCAUCAGAGAUACAGGACAAGAUUUUAUUUAUGAUUAAUAAUAUUUCAGCUUCAAAUAUGGAUGUGAAAGCAAAAGAAUUUACUGAUGUCCUGAAAGAGCAGUACUAUCCAUGGUUUGCUCAGUAUAUGGUGAUGAAAAGAGCAAGCAUUGAGCCAAAUUUUCAUGAGCUGUACUUGAAGUUCUUGGAGAAAGUUAAUUCAAGAAUGCUGAAUAAGAAGAUUGUCAAAGCUACUUAUGAGAAUUGCUGCCUUAGCAAAACUUUUUUGUUACCCCUGGUUGUCAUUGUCACCAUACACCUUUUCCAAUCUCCCAUAAACACAGACAAAUGAGGUCCAGCCAGAGCUUCUACAAGGGAUCUUCAAGUACUUGGAAUGCAGUUUUGUCAUCAGGAACGUCGAACAAUAAUUCAAAUACACUGAGGUGCUUUCGACUCCUUUAAAAAACCAACCAUCCACUCUUUUUUUUAACUUCCACAAAAAGAAGUGUGGCUGUAAGCACGCCAAUGACUACUAAAUAUUUUUGAGGAAGACAGUUGCACAAUAACUGAAUAAAAAUUUCUACAACCAGCCAUAAGGAGGUGGUGGUAGUGGUAGUGGUGGUGGUGUUGGGCCAAUUCAACCCUUUCUUCUAAAAGUUGAUCAUAUCAGAUAAAUGUGACAACGCAUUGCUCAAUGUAAUAUUUUGGUAACAUAGCCGAUCAUGCUUCUGGUUGUUUCGGUUCUCAUGUUUAAGCAGCCGCCUUGGUUUUAGACUUCUUUCCUUUCGUCUCUGGCGCUGGGCUGUUCUGGAAGGGAAGGAAGGCAGUACCCAUGAAGGGUUGUAAAGGUGCCGGAAUCUCAAUGCCAUAUUCCUUUUGGUAAUUUUCAAGAAUACAGUAAAUGGUCCUUGCUAUUGCUGUGAGGGUAGAGUUCAACAAAUGACUGCCUGUUUUUUCUUUCUUUUACAGAAUAUUGCGGAGUCCA